rnacentral:tRNA from 1 species
CCGCCUGUAGCUGAGCCGGUCCAAGCGCCCGCCUGAUAUGCGGGAGUUACGGAGGUUCGAUUCCUCCCAGGCGGA